UGUUUUCAGGAGUAUGCCAAGUUAUUUGUGGGUGAACCAAAGAUAAGAGAUGGCAUGGAACUGGUGGAACAACCAGUGGAUGAACUUUUUCCUUGCACUUGCUAUAGAAACAAGAUCAAAGAUGAACUGUAAACUGCACAGUCAAACCAAGUCAAAUGAAUUAGACAUCAAAAAAUGGAAGUGUAUUUUUAUUUUGUUACUGCUGUUUGCACUAUAAAAUUACUAAGGGCAAUAGAAAUGUUUUCUUUUGUCCAGUGGUUUGGGACUUUUUAUUUUAUUGCCAAAUGAGAUUUUAUCAUAUAAGCUGCAUUAUUAAAAAACAUACAUUUUCAUACCAUGAUAUUCUAGCCAUACCCUAACACUACAAUUCAAUAUUUCAGUAUUUAUGUUGUCUGAGAAGUGCCAUUUUUUACAUUAAAGGUUUUUGUGCAAUUUU